AGCUUCACACAGUGGCAGUGUCAUACACAAUGAGGUUUAUCUGAGGUGUGUGUCAUUAUUGCUUGAAAAUUUUUCCCAAUACUCUGUCAUGAUGAUUUGAAAUAUAGUCAACACUAGCAAUAUUUGACAGUCUCUAUGGAGA
ensembl:snRNA U4 U4 spliceosomal RNA